UGGAGGAGGGAGCAGAGACGGAAGAGGCAUUAGAGGCACAGCUACAGAACCUUCAAUUGAAGAUUGGCUGUAGGACUGAUCUCCCAAAAGUGGAGUCCCUUUGUGCCUUAAUAUCUAGCACAUAAUGCCUGACAAAGGAGGUUGGGGUAGCCCAGGUUGCUGCUUGACAGAUAGAUCCCAGAGAAAGCCCUCUGUCAAAGGUGGUUGAUGUGGUUAAGGUCCUAGUGGAGUGAGCUUUAAUCCUCGAUGGUGGGUCAAGUCCAGCUAUAUUGUACCCCGUCUUAAUCAUCCGGAUGAGCCAGGCAGAAAUGGACUCCGAGGAGGCUUGAACCUUUAUGAAGUUGUCCAUAUGUCAAGAUCAGUGAUUAUAGGAGAUUUCUUAUAGGAGAUUUCCUAUAAGAGGAUGUGCAUUGAAUAUAGAAAGCCAGUGCCCCGCGUACAUCCAAGGCAUGCCACCUCUGUUUGUCUGGAAAAGCAGGGUUGGGAGGAAAGACUAGUAGAGAAAUCACCUGCGGCCUAUGGGAGGUGGAGACCACUUAGGGAGGAAGGAAAUGUCUGGGCGCAGUAUGACUUUAUCCUGUUGGAAUACUAAAUAAGGUGGGUCAUACCAGAGUGCUCUGAGUUCUCCCACCUGCUGUGCGUAUAUUGUUGCCAUGUGGAACACUGUUUUGAGUGUUAAUAGACAUAAAUCACAAGUGGCCAUAAGGUCAAAAUAUUUCCCCAUGAGAACAGAUAGAAUGAGGGGAAGGUCCCGUGGAGGUGCAAUCUGAUGGGAUGUCUGGAUGCAGGUAUGCCAAGCCUUUUAGAAAUUGUUUCACUUUGGGGAAUGUAAAAAGGGAGGUCAAUGUUGGAGAUGACCAAUGAGCCACGAUUGCUGCAAGAUGCACCCUUACAGAUGACACAGAAGGCCUGACAUCUUGUAGAAGAUGUGCAGUAUUAUGGGCUGAACUAGGUUCCGUCACACCAGAAUUUAAGGCAUAUGAACAUAAUCUGUUCUAUUUGGCCUUAUAGGAGGAAGUCAUAAAUGGGUUCCUUGACACUGACAGUAUGCUUAAUAAAUCCAACGACCAGUUGGCUAGAUUCUCCAGGCUGUUAAUUGGAGGGUUGCACUGGCAAAUAAGUCCACUUCUGGGCGACCCCAGAUUCUGAAGAUUUUCUGUAGAGAUGUAGGAUGCAAUUAUCUAUCUAUCUAUCUAUCUAUCUAUCUAUCUAUCUGAUUUCUAUACCGCCCUUCCAAAAAUGGCUCAGGGCAGUUUAUAUUAAAAACAAACAAUUAAAAUCAAUUCACAGUUAAAAACAGACUAUAAAACACCAUAAAACAAUCAACAGUUAAAAAUUCAAAACAGUUUAAAACCCUGGAAAACCAGGUUUACAAGAAGAUAAAAACAAUUACAACAAUUAAAAAACCCUGGAAGGCCAGGACACACACAUAGGUUUUGAGGGCUCUCCUGAAGGCCAAUAAUGCAUUCGAAUUACGGAUUUCUGCAGGGAGUGCAUUCCACAGCUCAGGAGCAGCUACAGAGAAGUUACCGGUGGUAAAUGGAGAUGGACCUCCACAGACGACCUUAAUGUGAGGUGGGGAUCAUGCAGAAGAAGGCACUCUCUAAUGUAACCUGGACCUAAGCCAUUCAAGGCUUUAAAGAAUGAAGUGGAGACUUGUGAAGAAGCAUGAAGAGUUCCCUGAUGAGACCGGUACAGUCUGGGGGAAGGUGGAUCUCUGCCAGAGUUGAGUUGAAAAUUAUGCUGAGGAACUUUAUUUGGCACGUUGGCUGAAGAUGGGAUUUCAUAGUUUAUUUUGAGUCCUAAACAGUGAAGAAGAGAGAGGGUGAUUUGAAGAUGGCUCUUGAGACUGGCAUAACGUGGAGCUGCCAAAAGGCAAUUUUCUAAAUACGGGAAUAUCUAUCCCCCCCCCCUUUCUUGCAGGUUUACAACCACUGCUGCCAUACAUUUUGUGUAGACACUUGGGGCAGAAGAUAGUCCGAAUGGCAUGGCUUUGAAUUGGAAAAUGGGGUGAAUGGUGAUGUGGUAAUAGGCAUCCACUAUGGAAACAAAUCACACGUUCUCAGAAAGGAGAGGCAGUAUAUCCAAAAUGGUCAGCAUGCAGAAAUGUUUGUAAAUGACAAAUAUAUUUAGUUCUUGGAGACAUUUAGUUCACACCUCCAUAAUAGGACGUAAGCCUCCAUCCUUUUUGGGGAUGUGAAAUAAGGGAGUAGAAACCUUCUAGGUUGUGUGUUGUGACAGAUUCUAUUGCCCCUGUCUGAAGGUGUGUAAGUAUUUCCUCUCACAGUACAGCAUCUGAAUAUGUGAUCCUGCUUUGAGUUUGGGGGUGCUCCCGGAAUUCUAUUGCAUAACCUAAAUGUAUGAUAGUAAGUACCCAGUUAUCCUUGGUGAUGUUUUCCCAUGCCUCUAGGUAGGGUAUCAAUUAUGUUCCAGUGUGAAGGUUGACAUGCCUGUUUAUGAUAAAAGGCAGCUUGCUUGCU